rnacentral:lncRNA from 1 species
UUUUUCUCAAUACAUGGCGUAUUAGUACGUUAUAAAAUCAUAUGUAUCCAUAAUUUCUUUGAAAAGGAAUCUUACGAUAUAAAACUCAUGUUACAAAGCAAAGUAACUUUUGAAGAAGAUACCACACGUGCUGCCGCUCUUCAGAAAAUGAUACUGGUUGUUCUUCGCGAUGGGUUGAUCGAUGGACACGCUUUUGUUGGCACAUCAAGACGCGUUUAUUUUACUUGUAUUUGACCUCUUCUGGUUUGUUUUUUUUGACAGCAGACCUCUCUGUUCUCAACGUGCGUGACCCGUUCUCAACGUCACGACAAGCUGACAUGUGUAGUUACAGUGCUUGUCGCGAUCGCUGCCGGCGCAGACGUGCGUAAUCGGUCGAGUCCCCCGCCUGGGCCGGGCCAGGCCGGCCCACGGUUUUCCUGCAAGGCCAGGCCGGGCCGCCUCCACCAGGCGCCGCACACUUUCAAUACUUGCUAAAUUAUACCGAUCGGAAAUAUCAAUACUACUACAUGAAUAUC